rfam:Trichoderma harzianum strain T6776 Scaffolds0167.1, whole genome shotgun sequence.
GCCCUUAUAGCUCAGGGGUAGAGCGUUGCACUCGUAAUGCAAAGGUCCUUAGUUCAAAUCUGAGUGGGGGCA